rnacentral:lncRNA from 1 species
AGGUUAUAAUACAGGGAUGAAUUAUAAUUCUGGAUAUGGAACUGGAAUGUAUGGUUCUUCUUAUGGUGGUGGCUAUGGAAGCACAUAUGGAAGUGGUUUGUAUGGAAACAGUAUGUAUAGAGGAGGUUAUGGUGGACUUGCAGGUGGUGGCAUGUACGGUGGUGGAAUGUAUAAUAGUGGGUUUGGUGGCUCAAUGGGGGGUUAUGGCAUGGGCAUGGGCGGCAUGGGUGGCAUGGGUGGCAUGGGCAUGGGCGGCUUUGGGGACCAAGAUCCAAAUAAUCCCUAUGGUGCUCCAUCUUCUCCACCAGGCUUCUGGGUUUCCUUCAUGCACGUGGUAAGCUCUAACAGUACCAAAUAAUCUAUUUCUGUUCUAUAAGUUUGCCCUAAAAUGAAUUUGAUUUGCAUAAGUCUCUCAUUUGACCUGCACUUCAAGUAAAAACUAUAUUGGCCUUAUUGCUGAAUUUUUGUUUUUGGAUUGGAUAACAGACUAAAAUUAGGUGCAUGUGAAUGGGUAACGGAGCAAGGCCUCCAAAAUAAAGGGGUGGAAUCACAUAGGGAAGGAUAGAAAUUUAACAAGGCUUGUGAAGUUUCAGUGGCUUCUUGCAACUCCUGGGUUUCUGUAAUGAGAUACUUUUAGCUAGACCCCACUUUAUCCCAAAAAGAAACUUUUAGUUAGAUUCCUCAAUGUUUUUGAUAAUAAGAUCCAG